rnacentral:rRNA from 1 species
UACGAAGGGGGCUAGCGUUGCUCGGAAUGACUGGGCGUAAAGGGCGCGUAGGCGGAUGGCACAGUCAGAUGUGAAAUUCCCGGGCUUAACCUGGGGGCUGCAUUUGAUACGUGUGAUCUAGAGUGAGGAAGAGGGUCGUGGAAUUCCCAGUGUAGAGGUGAAAUUCGUAGAUAUUGGGAAGAACACCGGUGGCGAAGGCGGCGACCUGGUCCUUGACUGACGCUGGAGGAGCGAAAGUGUGGGGAGCGAACAGG